UACAGAGGGGGCAAGCGUUGUUCGGAAUUACUGGGCGUAAAGGGCGCGUAGGCGGCCUUCUAAGUCGAACGUGAAAUCCCCGGGCUCAACCCGGGAACUGCGUCCGAUACUGGGAGGCUUGAAUCCGGGAGAGGGAUGCGGAAUUCCAGGUGUAGCGGUGAAAUGCGUUGAUAUCUGGAGGAACACCGGUGGCGAAGGCGGCAUCCUGGACCGACACUGACGCUGAGGAGCGAAAGCCAGGGGAGCAAACGGG
rnacentral:rRNA from 1 species